rnacentral:rRNA from 1 species
GAGGAGCUUGCUUCUUGGGUGGCGAGUGGCGAACGGGUGAGUAACGCAUCGGAACGUACCGAGUAAUGGGGGAUAACUGUCCGAAAGGACAGCUAAUACCGCAUACGCCCUGAGGGGGAAAGCGGGGGGUCUUAGGACCUCGCGUUAUUCGAGCGGCCGAUGUCUGAUUAGCUGGUUGGCGGGGUAAAGGCCCACCAAGGCGACGAUCAGUAGCGGGUCUGAGAGGAUGAUCCGCCACACUGGGACUGAGACACGGCCCAGACUCCUACGGGAGGCAGCAGUGGGGAAUUUUGGACAAUGGGCGCAAGCCUGAUCCAGCCAUGCCGCGUGUCUGAAGAAGGCCUUCGGGUCGUAAAGGACUUUUGUCAGGGAAGAAAAGGGGCAUGUUAAUACCGUGCUCUGAUGACUGU